UUGGAGGGCAAGUCUGGUGCCAGCAGCCGCGGUAAUUCCAGCUCCAAUAGCGUAUAUUAAAGUUGUUGCAGUUAAAAAGCUCGUAGUUGAAUUUCGGGAUCUAUCCGUCGGUCGGGCCUCACGGUCCGCACUGGUGUGAUGGAUUCCUACCUUCUGAACAUCCGGUAUGCCAUUAAUUUGAUGUGCCGGGGAAGCAGAACCAUUACCUUGAAAAAAUUAGAGUGCUCAAGGCAGGCUUGUGCCUGAAUACAUUAGCAUGGAAUAAUAAAAUAGGACGGCAUGGUUCUAUUUUGUUGGCUUCUAGGAUCACCGUAAUGAUUAAUAGGGAUAGUUGGGGGCAUUAGUAUUCAAUUGUCAGAGGUGAAAUUCUUGGAUUUAUUGAAGUCUAACUUCUGCGAAAGCAUUUGCCAAGGAUGUUUUCAUUAAUCAAGGACGAAAGUUAGGGGAUCGAAGACGAUCAGAUACCGUCGUAGUCUUAACCAUAAACUAUGCCGACUAGGGAUCGGACGAUGUUAAUAUAUAAUGACUCGUCCGCGCCUUACGGAAC
rnacentral:rRNA from 1 species